AGGGACCCGAGCAUCGGAGCUGAAGGGACCUGGUCGGACAUUGCAGUGCUGAGAUGCCUGCCUCUCCCACUCAGAGCCUGUGCUGCUCACUGUGAGCUUACUUCUCUAGGAUUCCGGAAGAUCUGACUAGAAGAGAGUUAGUGCGACAUAUAGAGGCUGGAACUGCCUUUAUGACAAAUUCCAACCACAUCCAAUCAGGUCUCAUGCCCAAGUUACACUGGAGCACAACUGGACUUCUGUAUGUCUCACAGCCCCACGGAUGUCUGAGAAAUCUCACAGAUGGAAUUCCUGUGCAGAAGAGGACAUGGUGGCAGUGCUGGAGGAUUUCUGAGGUGAGGGUCCACAGAAAGAGAACUGAUGUCUGCCAGUGGAAAAGAAUGAUGCUAAUGAAGAUACAAAUGGAAGUUCAGAACCACCAUAAAGCAUGCUAGCAAAUCACAACAAAGACCGGGGGUUGGCAGCAAGGAACAGGCAGGGCAGCUGCUGGUAUGACGUCAGCAGCGGGAGCGGGACCUACCAGCCCCUACAGUGCAGAUGAGGUUCUCAGUGUUGACAGCGGCCAGGGCCUUUGCGAACAAGCCAGGCCAGAAAGGUGUAAUACAGCCUUCAACAUCGGAAUUGAAUGACUUUUAAACGACUGUUGUAAAAGGUAGUUGGCCUGUGGGAUGGAGGAGUUAAGCAGGGCGAUGUGGAGACAAGAGGAUGAGGAUGGAGGCACCCUGGUGACCAAGGACAGAGGCACCCUGGUGACCAAGGAUGGAGGAACCCUGGUGACCAAGGAUGGAGGCACACUGGUGACCAAGGACAGAGGCACUCUGUUGACCAAGGACAGAGGCACCCUGGUGACCAAGGAUGGAGGCACACUGGUGACCAAGGAUGGACCACCCCCAAACAGAAACAAUUGCAAAAUUUUGAUGUCAUCUGCUGUCACUGAAGGAGAAAGUACAGGAAAAAAACAAAAAAGGUGGAUUUCACCUCUCAGCCUUCUUCUA
rnacentral:lncRNA from 1 species